rnacentral:ncRNA from 1 species
CGCUAGGGGAGCUUUGGCUGAGAUUGAAAGAAGGAAUGGUUUCUUUUUCUGACCCUCAAUACUUGAACCGGUUAAUGCCGGCGUAAGGAAGCAAGA